UACGUAGGGUGCGAGCGUUAAUCGGAAUUACUGGGCGUAAAGCGUGCGCAGGCGGUUCGUUGUGUCUGAUGUGAAAGCUCCGGGCUCAACCUGGGAAUGGCAUUGGAAACUGGCGAGCUAGAGUGUGGCAGAGGGGGGUGGAAUUCCGCGUGUAGCAGUGAAAUGCGUAGAGAUGCGGAGGAACACCGAUGGCGAAGGCAGCCCCCUGGGCUAGCACUGACGCUCAGGCACGAAAGCGUGGGGAGCAAACAGG
rnacentral:rRNA from 1 species